UACGUAGGGUGCAGGCGUUAAUCGGAAUUACUGGGCGUAAAGCGUGCGUAGGCGGUUUGUUAAGACAGGUGUGAAAUCCCCGGGCUUAACCUGGGAACUGCGCUUGUUACUGGCAGACUUGAGUGUGGCAGAGGGGGGUGGAAUUCCAGGUGUAGCAGUGAAAUGCGUAGAUAUCUGGAGGAACACCCGUAGCGAAGGCGGUUCUCUGGGCCAAUACUGACGCUGAGGAGCGAAAGCGUGGGGAGCAAACAGG
rnacentral:rRNA from 1 species